rnacentral:lncRNA from 1 species
UAAGUAAUAUAUAAAAAGCAAGAAAAAGCUUUUGUCAAGUGCACUUGCUGUUUGCGUAACAAAAAGAGGCAUGGAUACCUUAGAAACAACAGCAAAGAAGCAGGGCCAUGUAGUUUGCAUACCUUUUCCCAUUCAAAGCCACAUUAAGGCAAUGCUCAAGAUGGCAAAGCUACUUUAUAGCAAAGGCAUUUUUGUUACAUUUGUGAAUACAGAGUACAAUCACAAGCGCUUCCUUAAAUCAGGAGGUGCUCAGGCUCUUGAUGGCUUGCCUGGUUUUAAUUUUGAAUCAAUUCCAGAUGGCCUGCCGCCUUUGUCCGAUUCUGACGCCACGCAAGACAUACCUGCACUUUGUCAUUCCGUCUUAGAGAAAGAAAUGUUGCUUCCUUUUCAGAACCUCCUCGCACAACUCAAUACCGGAACAAACCAGGUCACUUCCAUCCUCUCUGAUGGCUUCAUGCCAUUUGCAGCUGACGCGGCACAUUCCCAUGAAGUUCCUAUAAUUUUGCUUUGGACAGUUGCUGCUUGUGGAUUCAUGGGAUUUUUUCAGUUCAAAAAUGCCCUUGAAAGAGGCCUUGUACCAUUCAAAGGUGAGAAAAUUUAAAUCCAGCAUCAACAUUGUUAGAAUUAUCAAUAAAAUUAUUAAAGAUAGUCUAGGUAGUCUGAUAAUUUAUUUGUUUUGCGAAAAUUAUCUGUUGCGUGGAUUGUACAAGAAUACCUGGCCCUUUCUUGUUUUCAUGUCAAUAAAUCUUAACAAACACAAUUUGAAUACUGCAGAUGACAGCUAUUUAACAAAUGGUUAUUUGGACACCAUUAUAGACUGGAUCCCUGGAAUGGGUGAGAUUCGCUUUGGGGAUCUCCCAAGCCAUAUCAGAAUCAAUGAUCCAGAUGAAAUAGUAUUCAAGUUCAUAAUGGAAUCUACUCAGAGCGCAACUAAUGCUACAGGACAUGUAUUUCAUACUUUUGAUGAUUUGGAGCUAAAAGUUGUGAAUGCCAUCUCAUCUAUGUUUAAGGGUGUCCACACAAUAGGCCCCCAACAGUUGCUUCUGAACCAAAUACCGACAGAUCAGGAAGAGAGUCUCAGGAGCAUUGGAUACAGUCUUUGGGAAGAGGACAAGACAUGUCUCGAAUGGUUGGACUCUAAAGAAGCUGAUUCUGUAGUUUACAUAAACUUUGGAAGCAUAACAGUCUUGUCCCCGGAGCAAUUGAUGGAGUUUGGCUGGGGGCUAGCUAACAGCAACUGCUCCUUCUUAUGGAUAAUUAGGCCAGAUUUGAUCGUGGGUGAAUCUGACAUUACUCUUGGAAAUGAAUUCAUGGACGCUAUCAAGAACAGGGGCCUCAUUGCAAGCUGGUGUCCCCAAGAGGAUGUUCUGAACCACGUAUCCGUGGGAGGGUUUUUGACACAUGGAGGGUGGAACUCAAUCAUUGAGAGCAUAUCUGCUGGAGUGCCCAUGCUCUGUUGGCCUUUCUUCGGUGAUCAAACAACAAACUGUAAGUACAUGUGCCACGAAUGGGAGUGCGGAAUGGAGAUUCGUAAUGAUGUUAACAGAGAUGAUGUGGAGAAGCUUGUUAGGCUAUUGAUGGACGGAGUGGAGGGUAAGAAAAUGAGAAACAAAACCAUGCAGUGGAAAAAAAUGGCAGAAAAGGCCUGUCAGCCUGAUGGCUCAUCUUCCCUUAAUUUGGACAAACUGGUUCUUCUAUUGAAAAACUAAAACACUAGAUUUCCAGUUACCUUUUCCAAACUUUGUGAGCUUUUGCUUGCUUCUAGCUUUAUCAGGUCUCAGCAUUUUAUUUCCUGUCAUGCUUAAAUUAUGCAGCUCCUCUAUUACUGUCCUAAAUGUUCAUUGUAAAAUUUUAUCAAAGGACAAUGCUGGUUUCGAUACAAGUAGCCAGUAUUCGUAGAUGAAAUAAUGCCAGUGGAGCACGAUUAUCAUCUAUACAAUUGCAAAGAAAUGCUACCUGUAUGAACUGUAGUUUGCAUAUAGCUACCAUAUUAAAUAACCAUCUUCCAUCUCCAUCAUACCGUUAAAAUGUUUUGCCCAGUUCUACAUUGGUUUUAUUAAUUCUAUUUGUGAAGAUCGGUUUCUUAUAAGCUACAAGGUAAACGUGCAACAAGCUAUACCUGACUGGAAGACAUCGUCAAGUAGGUACUUCUUCACUACACAUUUUUUUUCCUAUUUAUUUUUUGUUUCUCUUACAGUAAAGAUGCUGUAAGCCAACAUACUGGAUCAGUCUUAUGAGAACGCCGCGGAAAUGAUUGAUCAUAUUAAUUAAUAUAUUUAUAAGAUUUUGAUGUAAAACUAAUCAUAAAAAUGAUUGAUCAUAUGGAUUAGGUAAGAAUGAUUGAUCAAAAUAAUAUAUUUACCAUGGAUUAGGUAAAAUGAUUGAUCAUAUUAAUUAAUAUAUUUAGAGGUCGAUUGGUUUAAUUCCUGAAAACACAGUAUUAUAUAAUUUCAAAAGAGUUAAUGAUAUUUAUGUUUAUAAUAAUAUAUUUUAUUUUUAUUUUUAAUAAUUAAUAUAAUUUAUUAUUUAAAAAUAUUAUUAUUUUAAAUAAUUUGACUUGUACAUUGUAUUAAAAUAAUUUUAAUUUAUAAAAACUAAAUUAAAAUUUAUUUUUGAUUUUCAAAAAAAUAUUUACAUAAGGCCUUUGUUUUUAAUGAUUUUUGAAAUAUAUUAUUAAUGAAAAUGAAAAAAAUGAAUAAGUAAAGGGAUUAGGUAAACAUAAAAUUAAAAAUGGAAAGACAAUGACAAUUUUUAUAAAACAAACACUAACAAAGGGAAUUAAAUUUAUUGUUUCUCUUUCCUUUUGUUAGUUACCUUUAUACAAACGAUCCUUUAUACUAUUUUAAAAUUUGUAUUUGUAAAACUUCUGUAAUUUAAUGAAUUGAUUAUAAUAAUCAAGUUUAAAUAUGUAAUUUUGUUAAUAAUUGAUAUAGUAUUCGAUAAAUUAACUAGUGCGAUGAGAUUUGCUAGCAUUUUAGUCGAGGAUCCCAAUAAUCAAAAUAUGUUAUAUUAUAAUUUAUACGAAGUACAUAUAAUUUUUUUUGAGCAUCCCAUCACAUAAAAUCAUUAGCUAAAUAUUUUAUAUAUAGAAAUUAUAGGAAUUGUCUAGAAAAAUUUGAUCUGGAUGGGACAAAAUUAUUGUAUACUCCCCCGUCCCUGAGUAGUAUACAUUGGGGGAAGGGGACGCGGCACGGACUUUAAUGCUCCUGUAAAAUGUAGUUAUGUAAUUUAUUUUUAAAAUUUUCUUUUUCUGAAUUAAAGUUUGGAUGUUAUAUUUUUAUUCAGAAAAAGAAAAUCUCAAAAAUAAGUCACGGAACUAUGUUUUUAUAAGAGCAUUGAAAUGCGUGUCGAGCAAUUGAAAAGAAACGUAUACAAUUAAAUGGGAUAGAGGGAGUAUAAUUUUAAUCCAGAUUAGCUGUACAGACGUAUAAAUAUAUGUUACAAGAUUUCACAUCAUUUAUUAUAAUAUUUAAAUAGAAGAUAUUUUAUUUACAACAACUUGAAAUAAUAAUAAUAUAUCAUUUUUAAAUAUAUACGACCCAUAUAGUAGUAUCAUGAAGCAAAUGUUUUAUAAUUGACGGAGUAUAAUAUUUUGGAGUAUAAUAUUUUACUUGUUCAAUCUAAUAAAUUAUUUUUAAGACAAUAUUAUCGGAGAUGCUCCGGAUAAGAUUGUAGAAUAAUUCAAACAUUCAUUGCUUUCGAUUAAUAGGGUCUGUAGUGUGCCAUAUUGAGUCGAUUUAGUAAAUGCUGAUGAAUUUCGUCCACAUAUCUGUUGUCGGUAGAGGUUCACUGUGUGCUCUAAAUUAUUGAAUUUGGACAAACAGUAUUCAUAUCAUUAUUCUUACUAUUAUUCUUUUGACAUCGUCUAAUAGUCGUUACUGAAUUCACAUACAAAAAACACUCUGAAAUUUAUAGUGCGUUUCUUGAAAAAAUUGUGGCUAUUUUUUGAAUAUCAAAUUACAAACUCUUACUCCUUCCAUAUUAAAAUAAGAGUCUUUUUGACUUUUUACAUAUAAUUUGAAGUAGAAAAGACAUGUUUCUAAAUAUUAUUCUUCAAAAUUUUUUAAAAAGAUUGUAAAUAUUAAACUUUUAUUUAGGUAGAAGAAAAUUUUAAAAAUAAUAUGUACGAUAAUGUUUUUUUAUAUCAAAACAGAUAAAAGAAGUAUAUAUGCUAAUAUUAUUAAAAAUAAUUAAUGAUUUAUAAAUCUUUGUUUCAUGAUGUAAGUUCACAGGGUAAACAGUAAAAAUUAUUCUCUCUCAAGAAUCAGGUCAACGAGUGCUUAUAAUUUAAAUCUACUAUUGUAUUUGUAUUGUGCCAAUAGUCUUCAUGUAUAAGGGUAACCAAAUUUGGGCGGGAGUAUUGUAAUCAACUACUCCAUGUAUAUGACUUUCAUUUAUUUUUUUUAGUGUUGUGAUCGGAUAAUUAAAAAUAUUAUUUUUUAAAUUUUUUUUUCUAAAUAAAAAUAUGUAAUAAAAAAUUAAAUUCAUAAAAAGAUAAAUUAAAAAUAACAUUUUUUACUAGCCGGUUACGGUGCCCAAGUCAAAGUGACAUAUAAAAAAACAUAGUUUCGGGUUCCAUUUCCUACCUGAAAAAUAACGGUGAUGGUGGUAGAAUGUGCAAAAUAGCAAUUAACCGAGAUGCUCGAAAACUGACCAUGCACCAGCACAUGCUCUUUUUACUAGAUCCCCUCAAAGAUCUAGUUUAUCUGUAUUUUGUUCGGGCAUUUUAAGCACCAAUCAUUUGUACUAGUAUUUAUUUGCUUCAAGAUAUCAGUGAGUAAUACUAUAUAAAAAGCAAGAAAAAGCUUUUGCCAAGUGCACUUGCUGUCUGCGUAACAAAAAGAGGCAUGGAUACCUUAGAAACAACAGCAAACAAGCAGGGCCAUGUAGUUUGCAUACCUUUUCCCUGUCAAAGCCACAUUAAGGCAAUGCUCAAGAUGGCAAAGCUCCUAUAUAGCAAAGGCAUUUUCGUUACAUUUGUGAAUACCGACUACAAUCAUAAGCGCUUCCUCAAAUCAGGAGGUGCUCAGGCUCUUGAUGGCCUGCCUGGUUUUAAUUUUGAAUCAAUUCCCGAUGGCCUGCAUUCAUCUGAUUCUGAUGUCACGCAAGAUAUAACUGCCCUUUGUCAUUCCAUCUUUGAGAAAGAAAUGUUGCUUCCUUUUAAGAAC